rnacentral:lncRNA from 1 species
GGUAAAUGGCCACUCAGCUUAAUCAGGAUCAGUCUCAAAAUUCAGAGGAAUUACCAUCUCAGAAUGUGCAGAUUCUGGAAAAUGUUAGUGCCAACAGCCUAGGAGUGUUGAUUAUACUAUCAAAAGGAAGGCUGAUUAGACUAUCAAAAGAUGUGCCAGAACAUUUAGUUCAAGCAAGAGACUAGAGCGUCCAUUCAAAGCUUGACUAAUUAGAUGGGGUAAAUGGCCACUCAGCUUAAUCAGGAACAGUCUCAAAAUUAAGAGGAAUUACCAUCUCAGAAUGUGCAGAUUCUGGAAAAUGUUAGUGCCAACAACCUAGGAGUGUUGAUUAUACUAUCAAAAGGAGGGCUGAUUAGACUAUCAAAAGAUGUGCCAAAAAACAAGUCAAUAUCACUUUUGAUAAAAGUUUUGAAAAGCAGGUGGGCUUUGACAAGAGUCACUAUCAUAUGGCUGACACUUGCACAAAUGGCUAGAAAGGAAAAAAUGUCAAGACAAGCUUCGUCAAAUGGUCAACACGAAUAACUGAUUGUUUUUGUGUUUCUAUCCUUCAUAGGCGCAUUCUACUUUCUCUCUCACUAGUGGCAACACUUUAUUCCGACGAAACAUUGUCAUUGCCCACAGUAACAUAAACCAUCACACUGUGGCAAAUUGGCUUGGCCAAAUUUAUUAUCGCUUGUGUCAGUUGGGUGAUCCCUGAAUCCAUCGAGGCAAAUAAAAUAAAAAUAAAAACAAAAAAGGCUUUCAGAAAAGAGAAUAAGUCCAUUAGAUUGAAAACCUGAAAGGGCGGUCUAGAAAGAAAAAAGAAAAGAAGAAAAAAUUGACUAAUGUUGAGGUUAUCUAUUCGUAAAGUUAAUCUUUUGGAAAUUUAGCAAUCAGAGCACAAAAUGAUGUGUGACCUUCUUUUCUUUAUGUAAAAAGCUAAAAUAUGUCCAUUGUCACCCCGUUUGAG